GCGCCCGGCCGGCGUGGCUGGCUGUUUGAGGACUGCGCGCGGAGCUCCGUGGCGGGUGUCUGAAGUCGUGAGUUUACUGCUUGUAAGGAACAUAGCGAUCACUGGGAACCUGGAAGUAGAGACUCCUUUCUGCCAUCCAUCCGUCCCUCGGGCUGCUGCGAAUCCCCCCGCCGGCCUCCAGGACCCCGGGCUGACUGAACGCCCGCACCGGUCCCGCCGCCCCAGGGCCCGCUACGCGCCCGGCAUAAUGGGAGAAAAAUCACGACGGAAAGGCCCAGCCCCUCGCCAUGCAGACGGGAAGCUUGGCCGCACGUGUGAUCACCCUUACGCCCCUUGGAGUUUCACCCCCUCUUCGCGGGCUCCAACAGCCUGGGUCAGGCCUCCUUGUCCUGUGUGGGCCUCUCGGCUGCAAGAACACAGUCCCGAGCCCCGGCGAGCCCGCGCGCCUCCCACCCGCCGUGCACAGGCUGCACUUUACGCCCCAGCACUGCGCCUGCGGGACCAUCUGGAUCGCUUUUCCAUUCUGAUGACGUCCUGUACUUCGUGGCUGCAGGCUCCUCAAGCCCCAGGUCUGUGCAGAGACGAGCAAAGCAGCAGAAUAUCCGUGCCACAGCUUUCUGGAGCACCCAUUUUACUACCAGAUUUGGAAGGAACGAAGUUAAGUAAUUUCCAAGAAUCAUCUCCCCUGCCCCACAAACAUGAAAGAAAAGACAAGAGAAGCACCCCAGAAGAGGAGGGGAGAAGUGCCCCAGAAAAAAUCAUCCAGUCUCUGAAGCUUUGCCCAGGGCACCACUCGCCCCUGAUCCAUCUUGGUUUCCCGCACAAGGCAGCAGGAUUGCCCAUGAAUGAACAUGGGUGAAAUCGUUGGAUACAGAUUUGAUGUUUUGCCAUUUUAAAGAAUACUAGACAAGAGGAUCUCAAUCUGGAUCACUAUAUUGGGCUCCUAAUAUCCUGAUAUAAUUUUAAAUCAUCCCAAACAACGCAUUAUUACCAUAUACAUCAGCAUUUCCCAAACUGUGCUAUAAGCUAUGUAUACUAUUGAUAUUUUUGAGCUAAAAUAUACUUAUAAAUACAUAAAAAUAUAUUUAUCUAGGUGGUGUUAUGCAAUAAUGCACUUUUCAAAAAGAAAUGAUAUACCAGUCUCAAGAAUACCCGGAAGCUGCAUGAAAAUUCUUGAUUCCUUUUAUAUAUAGUGACAGAAAAAGAUGUAAAUAUAACAAUUGGUUAUUUUUAUUGUAUAAAGUUUUUUCUAUAAGCA
rnacentral:lncRNA from 1 species